rnacentral:rRNA from 1 species
CCUACGGGUGGCAGCAGUGGGGGAUAUUGGUCAAUGGGGGAAACCCUGAUGCAGCAAAGCCGCGUGAGGGAAGAAGGUUUUCGGAUUGUAAAACACUGUUCGUGGGGAAGAUAAUGACGGUAACCAAGGCGAAAGCUCCGGCUAACUACGGGCCAGCAGCCGCGGUAAUCCGUAGGGCGCAAGCGUUGUCAGGAUUGACGGGGGGUAAAGGGUGCGUAGGCGGGAUUGCAAGUCAGACGUGAAAACCAAAGGCUCAACCUGUGGACUGCGGUUGAAGAUGUGGGGCUUGAGUGAAGUAGAGGUAGGCGGAAUUCCCGGUGUAGCGGUGAAAUGAGUAGAGAUCGGGAGGAACACCAGUGGCGAAGGCGGCCUACUGGGCUUUAACUGACGCUGAGGCACGAAAGCAUGGGUAGCAAACAGGAUUAGAUACCCUAGUAGUC